UACGUAGGCCCCAAGCAUUAUCCGGAAUUAUUGGGCGUAAAGGGCGUGUAGGUGUUCCUACAAGUCGGUCGUUAAAUCUCAUCGCCUAACGAUGAGGCCGCGAGCGAAACUGUAGGAAUUGAGGUUUGCAGGGGCAAGCAGAAUUUUUGGAGUAGGGGUGAAAUCCGUUGAUACCAAAAGGAACACCAAUGGCGAAGGCAGCUUGCUGGGCAAAACCUGACACUGAGACGCGAAAGCGUGGGGAGCAAAG
rnacentral:rRNA from 1 species